rnacentral:rRNA from 1 species
AUGAACGCUGGCGGCGUGCCUAAUACCUGCAAGUCGCGCGAACGGACGAGAAGCUUGCUUUUCUGAUGUUAGCGGCGGACGGGUGAGUAACACGUGGAUAACCUACCUAUAAGACUGGGAUAACUUCGGGAAACCGGAGCUAAUACCGGAUAAUAUUUUGAACCGCAUGGUUCAAAAGUGAAAGACGGUCUUGCUGUCACUUAUAGAUGGAUCCGCGCUGCAUUAGCUAGUUGGUAAGGUAACGGCUUACCAAGGCAACGAUGCAUAGCCGACCUGAGAGGGUGAUCGGCCACACUGGAACUGAGACACGGUCCAGACUCCUACGGGAGGCAGCAGUAGGGAAUCUUCCGCAAUGGGCGAAAGCCUGACGGAGCAACGCCUCGUGAGUGAUGAAGGUCUUCGGAUCGUAAAACUCUGUUAUUAGGGAAGAACAUAUGUGUAAGUAACUGUGCACAUCUUGACGGUACCUAAUCAGAAAGCCACGGCUAACUACGUG